CACAAACGCUGGCGGCAGGCUUAACACAUGCAAGUCGAGCGCCCCGCAAGGGGAGCGGCAGACGGGCGAGUAACGCGUGGGAAUCUACCCAUCUCUACGGAAUAACGCAUGGAAACGUGUGCUAAUACCGUAUACGUCCUUCGGGAGAAAGAUUUAUCGGGGAUGGAUGAGCCCGCGUUGGAUUAGCUAGUUGGUGGGGUAAAGGCCUACCACGGCGACGAUCCAUAGCUGGUCUGUGAGGAUGAUCAGCCACACUGGGACUGAGACACGGCCCAGACUCCUACUGGAGUGAGCAGUGGGGAAUAUUGGACAAUGGGCGCAAGCCUGAUCCAGCCAUGCCGCGUGAGUGAUGAAGGCCCUAGGGUUGUAAAGCUCUUUCACCGGUGAAGAUAAUGGCGGUAACCGGAGAAGAAGCCCCGGCUAACUUCGUGCCAGCAGCCGCGGUAACAC
rnacentral:rRNA from 1 species